rnacentral:tRNA from 1 species
GCCUGGGUGGCUCAGUCGGUUAAGCGUCCGACUUCAGCUCGGGUCACGAUCUCACGGUCCGUGGGUUCGAGCCCCGCGUCGGGCU